rnacentral:rRNA from 1 species
UACGUAGGCAGCAAGCGUUGUUCGGAAUUACUGGGCGUAAAGAGUGUGUAGGCGGUGCUCUAAGUCUGUUGUGAAAUCUCCCGGCUUAACCGGGAGGGUGCGGCGGAAACUGGAGUGCUUGAGGGUGGGAGAGGUAAGCGGAAUUCCUGGUGUAGCGGUGAAAUGCGUAGAUAUCAGGAGGAACACCUGUGGUGGAGACAGCUUACUGGACCACUUCUGACGCUGAGACACGAAAGCGUGGGUAGCAAACAGG